rnacentral:rRNA from 1 species
AUGAACGCUAGCUACAGGCUUAACACAUGCAAGUCGAGGGGCAGCAUGGUCUUAGCUUGCUAAGGCCGAUGGCGACCGGCGCACGGGUGAGUAACACGUAUCCAACCUGCCGUCUACUCUUGGACAGCCUUCUGAAAGGAAGAUUAAUACAAGAUGGCAUCAUGAGUCCGCAUGUUCACAUGAUUAAAGGUAUUCCGGUAGACGAUGGGGAUGCGUUCCAUUAGAUAGUAGGCGGGGUAACGGCCCACCUAGUCUUCGAUGGAUAGGGGUUCUGAGAGAAAGGUCCCCCACAUUGGAACUGAGACACGGUCCAAACUCCUACGGGAGGCAGCAGUGAGGAAUAUUGGUCAAUGGGCGCAGGCCUGAACCAGCCAAGUAGCGUGAAGGAUGACUGCCCUAUGGGUUGUAAACUUCUUUUAUAAAGGAAUAAAGUCGGGUAUGGAUACCCGUUUGCAUGUACUUUAUGAAUAAGGAUCGGCUAACUCCGUGCCAGCAGCCGCGGUAAUACGGAGGAUCCGAGCGUUAUCCGGAUUUAUUGGGUUUAAAGGGAGCGUAGAUGGAUGUUUAAGUCAGUUGUGAAAGUUUGCGGCUCAACCGUAAAAUUGCAGUUGAUACUGGAUAUCUUGAGUGCAGUUGAGGCAGGCGGAAUUCGUGGUGUAGCGGUGAAAUGCUUAGAUAUCACGAAGAACUCCGAUUGCGAAGGCAGCCUGCUAAGCUGCAACUGACAUUGAGGCUCGAAAGUGUGGGUAUCAAACAGGAUUAGAUACCCUGGUAGUCCACACGGUAAACGAUGAAUACUCGCUGUUUGCGAUAUACGGCAAGCGGCCAAGCGAAAGCGUUAAGUAUUCCACCUGGGGAGUACGCCGGCAACGGUGAAACUCAAAGGAAUUGACGGGGGCCCGCACAAGCGGAGGAACAUGUGGUUUAAUUCGAUGAUACGCGAGGAACCUUACCCGGGCUUAAAUUGCAGAUGAAUUACGGUGAAAGCCGUAAGCCGCAAGGCAUCUGUGAAGGUGCUGCAUGGUUGUCGUCAGCUCGUGUCGUGAGAUGUUGGGUUAAGUCCCGCAACGAGCGCAACCCCUGUGAUUAGUUACUAACAAGUUAAGUUGAGGACUCUAAUCAGACUGCCGGUGAUAAAUCGGAGGAAGGUGGGGACGACGUCAAAUCAUCAUGCCCUUUAUGUCCUGGGCAACACACGUACUACAAUGGGGGGGUACAGAGGGCCGCUACCACGCGAGUGGAUGCCAAUCCCAAAAACCUCUCUCAGUUCGGACUGGAGUCUGCAACCCGACUCCACGAAGCUGGAUUCGCUAGUAAUCGCGCAUCAGCCACGGCGCGGUGAAUACGUUCCCGGGCCUUGUACACACCGCCCGUCAAGCCAUGGGAGCCGGGGGUACCUGAAGUGCGUAACCGCGAGGAGCGCCCUAGGGUAAAACUGGUGACUGGGGCU